CUCCUGACCUCGUGAUCCGCCCUCUUUGGCCUCCCAAAGUCCUGGGAUUACAGGCAUGAGCCACCGUACCCAGCCACUCUUGAUUAACUUAAUGGAAAUAUUUACAGAGAUUCUUUCUCUUCUGGGUUCUAGCGUCUUAUCUGUAACCUCUGCAGGGGAGUCACUGAGCAGAAGGAAGCGAGUUGCCUGAGAUUCCUCAAAGCCCGCAGCCCUUUUGGAGGUUACAUUGUUAUUCUCAGAGCCUUUAUGAUGCAUAAUAAAGACCCAGCUUGGACCAA